rnacentral:rRNA from 1 species
UUUGGAAGCUUGCUUUUAAAGCUGAGUGGCAAACGGGUGAGUAACGCGUAAACAACCUGCCUUCAGGAUGGGGACAACAGACGGAAACGACUGCUAAUACCGAAUACCUUCCAAUGGCCGCAUGACCGAUGGAAGAAAGGGUGGCCUCUACCUGUAAGCUAUCGCCUGAAGAGGGGUUUGCGUCUGAUUAGGCAGUUGGCGGGGUAACGGCCCACCAAACCGACGAUCAGUAGCCGGUCUGAGAGGAUGAACGGCCACACUGGAACUGAGACACGGUCCAGACUCC